rnacentral:rRNA from 1 species
GAUGAACGCUGGCGGUAUGCUUAACACAUGCAAGUCGAACGGUCACUUCGGUGAUAGUGGCGGGCGGGUGAGUAACGCGUGAGAAUCUGUCUUCAGGUCGGGGACAACAGUUAGAAAUGACUGCUAAUACCGGAUGUGCCUUUGGGUGAAAGAUUUAUUGCCUGAAAAAGAGCUCGCGUCAGAUUAGCUAGUAGGUGGUGUAAGAGACUACCUAGGCUCCGAUCUGUAGCUGGUCUGAGAGGACGAUCAGCCACACUGGAACUGAGACACGGUCCAGACUCCUACGGGAGGCAGCAGUGGGGAAUUUUCCGCAAUGGGCGAAAGCCUGACGGAGCAAUACCGCGUGAGGGACGAAGGCUUUUGGGUCGUAAACCUCUUUUCUCAAGGAAGAUGAUGACGGUACUUGAGGAAUAAGCAUCGGCUAACUCUGUG